UGCCAGUAGUCAUAUGCUUGUCUCAAAGACUAAGCCAUGCAUGUCUAAGUAUAAAUGUUAUACAGUGAAACUGCGAAUGGCUCAUUAAAACAGUUAUAGUUUAUUUGAUAAUCGAAUUUACAUGGAUAACCGUGGUAAUUCUAGAGCUAAUACAUGCUGGUUAGCCUGACUUCGAGGAAGGGCUGUAUUUAUUAGAUAACAAACCAAUAUUCCCCGUGUCUAUUGUGAUGACUCAUAAUAACUGAUCGAAUCGCAUGGACUUUGUCCGCGAUACAUCAUUCAAGUUUCUGCCCCAUCAGCUUUCGAUGGUAGUGUAUUGGACUACCAUGGCUUUAACGGGUAACGGAGGAUUAGGGUUCGAUUCCGGAGAGGGAGCCUGAGAAACGGCUACCACAUCUAAGGAAGGCAGCAAGCGCGUAAAUUACCCAAUCCUGACUCAGGGAGGUAGUGACAAGAAAUAACGGACCGAGGCAUCUGCUUCGGGAUUGCAAUGAGUAGAAUUUAAACCCCUUUACGAGGAUCAAUUGGAGGGCAAGUCUGGU
rnacentral:rRNA from 1 species